CUCGCCGUCAUCGCAAUCCUCUACCACAUCGCCACGUCAUACUUCCACCUCCUCCCCAAACCUCUCUCCUACGUGGCCUGGCCGGCAUACUGGGCCGCCCAGGGAUCCCACUUCAUCGCCGUCUGGGUCCUGGCCCACGAGUGCGGCCACCACGCCUUCAGCGACUACCAGUGGCUAGACGACGUCGUCGGAUUCGUCCUCCACUCCGCUCUCCUCUCGCCGUACUUCUCGUGGAAACACAGCCACCGCCGCCACCACUCCAACUCGGCAUCUCUAGAACGCGACGAGCUGUACAUCCCGAAGAAGAAAUCGGAGAUUAGCUGGCAUUACAAGUACCUCGACAACCCGCCGGGUCAUCUUUUCUACUUGGUGUUCACUCUCACUCUCGGAUGGCCUCUCUACGUGAUGUUCAACGUCUCCGGCAGGGAAUACGACGACGGAUUCGCUAGCCAUCUGUAUCCUUUCUCCCCGAUCUACAACGAACGGGAGAGAUUCGGGAUACUUUUGUCGGACGCUGGGAUGCUUGCCACUUGGUUUGGUCUGUACAAGCUGUCCAUGGUCAACGGACUGAGUUGGGUUGUUUGUGUGUACGGGGUCCCGCUAUUGGUGAUGAAUGGAUUGCUUGUGACGAUCACUUACUUGCAUCACACCCAUCUUUCGCUCCCGCAUUAUGACUCGUCGGAGUGGGAGUGGAUGAGAGGUGCGCUAGCGACUGUGGAUAGAGACUACGGGUUCCCGCUGAAUAAGGUGAUGCAUCAUAUUACGGAUACUCACGUGGUGCACCAUUUGUUCUCGAUGAUUCCUCAUUACCAUGCGACGGAGGCUACAAAUGCGAUUAGGCCGAUUUUGGGUGAAUAUUAUCAAGUUGAUCCGACUCCGUUUGUCAAGGCGUUGUGGAGGGAGAUGACGCACUGUGUUUACGUUGAGGCCGAUGAGAAGAAACGAGGUGUGUUCUGGUAUAAAACCAAGCUAUGAAUGUGUUUUGUAUCUGGGCUGCUUUUCGAUUCUUCUUCGUACGAACUUGUGAUGUACGUGUCGUCCCAACCUGUCUGAAGAAGUUUUUUUUUUGUUUCUAUGUUUUAUGUUUUAUUUUAUCGUUUCUUAAUUAGUCGCUAUGUAGCCACAAAAGAUCGUAUGUACCACCGAUAUCGGAUUAUGAAAUGAUAAUAAUAAUUAAUGGGAUAUAUCCUUUGCUCCUUACUGUUUAUUAUUUGCAUAACAUUUUCAAGAACUAAAUCAUCAUACGCACAAACAAUUGGUAUAAAUAUAUAGUGUUUCCUAAAGUUUUAUGUCUUAAUUAUUUUUACAAAACCAAACCGAUCUAACCGAAAUUUCAAGAUUCUCGCAACCAACCCCUGAUCUCUUAAUUAUUUUUACCAGAACCAAAUCAAUUCCAAUUUUUUUUAUAAGUUCAAUUUUCAAUAUUUGUAGACUCAGGAACGUGAGAUCAUAUGUGCAAGCAGGUAGGGGUUGUCAUUUUCGUCUACUAUUAUUUAUCGAUCGGCCAAUUUAAAGGAUUCUUAAUUAAUUUCUGUUCGACAAUUAAUUAAAAUUUAUAACUCAAUGCUUAAUUAAGCGAUAGCAACUAUCAAGUACAUCAAUAAAUCAGUGACAAUAACAAUUUUUGUAUAACACAUGAGCUGGUAAUGUGGAUGGUGCUAUCCACACACAGGUAGCAAGAAAGAAGUAGUUAACCCAAUUAAUUAAUGUAUUUUGCAUCCUCAACCUCCUAACAACGCUUUCAAAACCAUAACCACAAAAACUAACAUUAGACUCGACAUGAAACUAAACGACAAUAAAAAAAACAAACAUAAGUGAAUAUACAAAUUAAUUCCGGCUUGAAUCUAAUUUGAAUUAAAAUAUGGAGGUUUAUAAUAAUUAAGAAAUACUUAUUAAAAGAAAUUAAGAGAUAGGAUUUCAUUUUGAGCCGGCACCCCAUCAGCUUCACAUGAGUUGUUUGGAAUUUGGGAUAACGCCGUUUUCAAAAUAUCCAGAAUAAUUCUGCGCCGUUAGAUUUCAGGGUUUUAGGACUUUGCAUCUUGAGCCGUCACCCCAUCAGAUCCAUGUUCUUUGGGAUUCUUAAUUAAUUUCAGUCUUAGAAUCUAAUUUGAAUUAAGAUAGUGAGGCUUAUAAUAAGUAAGAGAUAGGAUAUUUCAUUUUAAGCCGUCACCCCAUCAAGUCCAUGAGAGAGCUGUUUGGAAAUCGGGAUUGUACGGAUUUCAAAAUGUUCAAAAUGAUUUUGAACCGUUAGAUCUCAAGAUUUUUAUUAUUUUGAUUGAUGUCGGUGGAUUUGGCAUCUUUGAGCCGUCACCCCAUCAGAUCCAUGGUCUUUGGUCUUCCAGGCUUUCAGUAGAAUAAUUAACAGAAUACAUACACUUGCAUUUUACAAUACUAAAUUACUUUGUUUAUUUGUUACUCCUUCAGUAAAUUAGUUAAUAGAAUACAUCCCGAGGUAAGUAUAUGCUGAUGAUCAAAUUGUUUAUUCACCCAGUUAUAAGAUUGGGGGAAAUAAUAAUAAUAGGAAAAUACCUCCGAAAUGUCACCGAAAAAUCAUACAUGGUGUCUAUUUUAGAAUUAUUAGAAAGUUGGUGAUAUUUCGGAGGUUUUUACCUAAUCUAUAUGAUUUGGGAGCUAUAGUUUGAUUGAUUCAAAUUUGUCAUCCCCUCUUCGUUUAUUAGUGUACAUAACCUCACGAUAUUAUUAAUUAGAGUGACCAAUUUGUUAGAAGAACAUCGUCACUUUAAAAGCCUUCGGGUUUGAUGUUAUUAAACCAUUAAAAUCGUAAAAUUGUUCAAACAUUUAUUUUCACAUACUGAGAAAAUAUGCCAGAUUCUUUAACAGCGUUUUUAGAUACUAAAACUAAUCCUUGAACUGACCAUUUACUCAUAUUUAAAAUUUCGGCUCGGUUUUAGUACUGAUUAAAACCAAUUAGGUGGACAUGUGGAAUAUAUGGUGUCGAAUUGAUGAGCCAUGAACUAAUGAGUCCAAGUCUGGCGGCCAACCGGUUAGGCCAUGCAUGCUCAAGAUCCGAAAUGUUCGUAACCUUACAUCAUCAAAGGUUAAGAUUUUCCUGCAACCGAUCAAAUCUAAAUUACUCAAUAAAACAUGAUGACCCCGCCCAAAUCAAUCGAUGAUACAUGACGACCCCGUCCAAAUCUCAGGCUGUACAAGUAAAGGUAGCAUCUCUUGUUCAACAUAAGUCAUUGUUCAUUUACCCAUUAGCCUAUGGACUAUAUGCUUGCUAUAGCUAAACACCUUAGGUCCAUACGUGUACAUGCAUUAUUUUCCUUCGAGAUACUUCUUUGUCUCCCACUCUUAGAUAUAUAUGCGCCUUACCCCAUAAAUUAAAACUACAUUGAACAAACCGGUUAAUCAAGGAAAACUAAACUAUCAAUCGAUGAACUUGGAGGAAGACACUCUAGACACGUGUAUGCGUCAUUGUACCAGCGUUUUGUACAUAUAUACUUCUUUUGUUAUAUUGUACACACUUAUGUACGUGCCUUUGUAUACGUAUAUGUCUCGGUCUCGUAAUGUACACGAGUAAACACACUUGUACAUGAGUACAUUUGUAUCAAGGUGUUUUGACAACUCUUAAGAUCCAAUCCCUGUUCUUAUAUUCCAUUUUAAACACACCCUCUGUCCGGACCAGCGGCGAAGUUUGUCGGCGGCAGCCCCGUCUGAUUGUUUCGAAGGUUGAUGGGAAAAGAUAAAUUUUUUAUAGUUUUGUCCUAUGAAUCCAAACCGUUAAAUAAAAAUAAAACAAUUAGAUCUGACGGUUAAAAUGAUUUCGUCCAAGCUAUUAAUGUAUCUAUCUCCUUAGCUUGAUGCCACAUCAAAAGAAACCCCUUCCCAAAACUACCUAACACACACUCAAAACUGGUAUCCUCCGACCAAACCAUGAACAACAGAACCACCACGAAGCUGCUGCCGCUGUCAAAACCGCCGUUCACUCUGGCCGACAUCAAGAGAGCCGUACCGCCACACUGUUUCAAAAGAUCCCUCGUCAAAUCAUUCGCCUACCUAGCCUACGACAUCACCGUCAUCACAAUCCUCUACCACAUCGCCAACACAUACUUCUACCUCCUCCCCAAACCUCUCUCCUACGUGGCGUGGCCCGUCUAUUGGGCCGCCCAAAGCUGCUUCUUCGUCGCUGUAUGGAUGGUGGGUCACGAUUGCGGCCACCAUUCAUUCAGCGACUACCAGUGGGUGGACGACACUGUCGGAUUCGUCGUCCAUUCGUUCCUCCUCACCCCUUACUUCUCGUGGAAGCACACCCACCGCAGCCACCACGCCAACAACGGAUCUCUAGAACGCGACGAAUCUUUCGUCCCCAAGACCAAAGACGAAGUCAGGUGGCACUUCAAGUACCUCGACCACCUACCGGGGCGAAUCUUCUACGUGUUCUUUACUCUAACCCUAGGAUGGCCUCUCUACUUGAUGUUCAACAUCACCGGAAGGCCGUACAAGGAUGGAUUCGCUAGCCAUUUCUACCCCAUGUCGCCUAUGUACGAGGACCAUGAGCGGUUUGGAGUAGUCCUGUCCGACAUGGGAAUGCUCGCUAUGUGGUUUACGCUCUACAAGCUCUCGGUGGCGUUCGGAGUCACUUGGGUUCUCUGUGUGUACUUUAUUCCACUAGUUUUACAAAACGCGUUGUUUGUUACGAUCACUUACUUGCACCACACGCAUCCAAACGUGCCUCGUUAUGACUCUUCGGGGUGGGGUUGGAUGAGGGGGUCGUUGGUGACCGUGGAUAGAGACUAUGGGUUUUUGAAUAAAGUGUUCCAUAACGUGACGGAUACUCACGUGGCGCACCAUCUGUUCACGCAUAUGCCUCAUUACCACCAAUUGGAAGCUACCAAGGCGUUCAUCCCGAUUUUGGGAGAGUACUACCAGGCUGAUCCAACACCGUUCUAUAAAGCAUUGUGGAGAGAAAUGAAGCACUGUGUUUAUGUCGAACAAGACAAAGAUGCAAAUGUCGAUCAGAACAAAAGAGGUGUGUAUUGGUACAAAACAAAGUCGUGAUGUGACUAAGAUUUGUACAAACUUGUGAUAUGUCGUGUUCUAGUCUCAAGAUUUAUGUGUUUGUCUUUUUAUAUUUAAAUUUCAUUGUUUCUUAAUCUGUUACGCAAUUGUUAUGUUAUGUCGUGAAAUAGUUAUAAAUAACAGUAUAAUGUACGGGAUUCAUCCUAGGUUGGGGAUGCAUGCCACGUAUAUAGAGGAAUCGGGAACAAUUUACGAAUACUUAAUGUUUGAAUGAAGAAAUUAAAACAAAGUAUUUCCUAAGAUAAGUGAAUCCAUUAUAUUGAUUGUUUUUUUUUUAAUAAUACUUAUUUUGUAUCAAAAUUUAUCAGAGAUAGGAAAGUCGAAUUAUUAUUUUAUUUAUUUAGAACCGAUAAAAUAUUAUUAAUUUGAUAAUCUCAAUUGGGCAUUACAUUAUCCAAUNNNNNNNNNNNNNNNNNNNNNNNNNNNNNNNNNNNNNNNNNNNNNNNNNNNNNNNNNNNNNNNNNNNNNNNNNNNNNNNNNNNNNNNNNNNNNNNNNNNNNNNNNNNNNNNNNNNNNUGGUGUGAGUAUGUUAUUAAUUAUUAUCAAUAUAAUUGGCAACUCCUAAAGUAAAUUCCUGACGUCGUCACUAAUUAUAAAGUGGGUAGUUAUGAUUAAACUCUAAAAGUAUGAUAUAUAAAAUGUGCCUGAAGAUAGAGCAAUAUUUUUAAAAGAAAUUUUAAAAAUUAUAUGAAUGGCGAUUUAUAUUAUAAAGUACGUCAAAUAUAGUGCUCAAACAUUCGUAAUUGUUUAAUUCAAAAUACAAGUCCAUACGUUGUAUACUUGAAGUUUUUUCAAAUUGACGGUUUUCAAACUUUUAAGUAGUCAAUUACGGUUAAUCGAAAAUAUCUUUUCAAACAUUUACUUUUAGAUACCAAUAAAAUAUGACUGAUUCAUUAAAAGCAUAUUUAGACGGUAAAACUAAUCUUUACUCCGACCGUUUAUUCGACAUAAAUUUCGACUCAACGCUAAUUCUAAUUAAAAAUAAUCAAGUGGACAUGUGAAAUAUGUGGUCCCGAAUUGAUGAGCUUAGGAUCUGGCCUAUGAUGCUUAAGAUCUGAAGCGUUUGUAAUCCUCCAUCAUCAAAGGUUAGGAUUUUUCUAUAAUCGGUUACCGAACAAUCAAUUAUUCAUAACGACCCCGCCCAAAUCUCAAUUAAGAAGCUAAACAAGUAAAAGUAGCUAGCUUCUCUCAUUCAAGAUAAGUCGUUAUUUAAUCAUUACACCUAUGGACUUCCGAUAUACUUCUCUGUUUCCCAGUACUCGUAGAUAUACGCCUUACCCGAUAGGUUAAAACUUACCUGGAAUCACUACAUUGAACAAACCGGUUCAUCAAAGAGAACUGAACUGCCGAUGAAGACUAAGUGUAUUUUAACAUUUUAAUAUUUCUGUCCUAUGAUCCAAACCGUUAAAUAAAAUAAUAUAAUUACAUCUAACGGCUAAAAUGAUGUUGUCCGAGCUAUUAAAGUAUCUAUCUCCUCCUUGAUGCCACAUCAAAAACAACCCAUUCCCCUUUCUUGUUCAGAGUAAUCGUUGACUUUUCCACAAAACCACUGAACAACACUAAAAAAUGGUGUCCUCCGGCAAAACCAUGAGCAACAAAACCACCACGAAGCGGCCGCCGGUGUCAAAACCGCCGUUCACUCUGGCCGACAUCAAGAGAGCCGUACCGCCACACUGCUUCAAAAGAUCCCUCGUCAAAUCAUUCGCCUACCUAGCCUACGACCUCACCGUCAUCACAAUCCUCUACCACAUCGCCAACACAUACUUCCACCUCCUCCCCAAACCUCUCUCCUACGUGGCGUGGCCCGUCUAUUGGGCUGCCCAAUGCUGCUUUUUCGUCGCUUUAUGGAUGGUGGGCCACGACUGCGGCCAUCAUUCAUUCAGCGACUAUCAGUGGGUGGACGACACCGUUGGAUUCGUCGUCCACUCGUUCCUCCUCGCCCCUUACUUCUCGUGGAAGCAUAGCCACCGCCGCCACCACGCCAACUCCGGAUCUCUAGAACGCGACGAGUCGUUCGUCCCGAAAACCAAAGACAAUAUCACCUGGCACUUCAAGUACCUCGACCACCUACCGGGGCGGAUCUUCUACGUGGUCUUCACUCUAACCCUCGGAUGGCCGCUCUACUUGAUGUUCAACAUCACCGGAAGGCCGUACAAGGACGGAUUCGCCAGUCAUUUCUACCCCAUGUCGCCUAUCUACGAGGAUCACGAGCGGUUCGGAAUAUUCCUCUCUGAUGUUGGCAUGCUCGCUAUGUGGUUCACACUCUACAAGCUUUCCGUGGCGUAUGGAGUCGGUUGGGUUCUUUGUGUGUAUUUUAUUCCGCUGGUUUUACAAAAUGCGUUGUUUGUCACGAUCACUUACUUACACCACACGCAUCUGAACUUGCCUCACUAUGACUCUUCGGGGUGGGACUGGAUGAGGGGGUCGUUGACGACUGUGGAUAGGGACUAUGGGUUUUUGAACAAGGUGUUGCAUAACGUGACAGAUACUCACGUGGCGCACCAUCUGUUCACCCAUAUGCCUCAUUACCACCAAUCGGAAGCGACCAAGGCGUUCAUUCCGGUUUUGGGGGAAUACUACCAGGUUGAUCCGACUCCGUUCUACAAGGCGUUGUGGAGGGAGAUGAAGCACUGUGUUUAUAUCGAGCAAGAUGAGGAUGCGGAUUCUGAUAAUAACAAAAAAGGCGUGUACUGGUACAAAACCAAGCUCUAAUCGAUAACGUGGUUACGUUUGUACGAACUUGUGAUGUAUCGUGUUCUAGUCUCGAGAUGUGUUUUUCUUAUGUUUUAUUCUUAUUGUUUAUCACUCGUUACGCAAAUGUUGUGUUGAAUAGUUAUAAAUAACGGUAAUAAUAUAUGAGGAUAUAAGUUUGUGAAAUGAUAUAUAAAAGGUGUCUGGAAAAUGGAAAUAGAGCAUUAUGAAGAAAUUUAAAAAAUUAUACGAAUGGAAAUUUAUAUUAUAAAGUAUGUGAAAUAUAAUAUUCGAGCAUUCAUAAUUGUUCAAUUCGUAAUACAAUUUUGAAGCUUUUAAAUAGCCGAUUACACCCAAUCGGAAAUAUGUUUUAGAGAUUCUUUUUACAUAGUUCAAGGCCAAAUUUGAGGGUGAAAAUUUCUUGAGAUUUCAUACGUCCAAAAUUCAAAUUUCGUCCUUCAUUCAAUUAUUUUUAUACGAAUAAAACUUAAUAUAAUUAUUAAUUAAUUAAGGGUAAGAUAGUAUUGAACUUCCUCACAUCUUUUUGUUUUACAAAUUAAUGAUGAUUUUUUAAUCAAUGCUCAAGCGACUUGUUGAGCCAAUUUGAAAAUGCAGGCCCCUAUAGACAAGGUUAUAGGAAAGAUAGAUUGUCUCGCUAAAGUGUGAAUAACCAAAUCUCAUUUUCUCUUGAUAAUCUGAAAAGAAAACUCAUUUGCAAAUUGCAACAAACUACGACACAUAAACACAAUCCUUCCAAAUUCCGUAUCGUCCUCUGUCUCGUUGAGUAUGGCCAGUGAUACACUCUGCGAGUCUCCUUCAAAGAUUAUUUGCGUGUAUCCAAGAUGUAUCACCCAGCGAAUAGCUUCUAAGAUAGCAAUAGCUCGCCUACCUCCACGUUCGUGAUACAGUUAUUUGGCAGGUACACAUCAAGGGCAAUGUUGAGAUCGUUCUCUCCCGAUUCACUCAUUGAAGCAUGCGCUGUAGAGGUAACGAUGCAUCAUUCGGAGGUUCUGGCCUCCCUAACUACUUGUCUCCGGCUCCAUGUGCAAGUUGUUCAACAAUUUGCUAAAGAUAUAGCUCACAUGCAUAAGAUACCAAUUGAAUAUCAAACAAAAACAAAAUCUUUUCGAAACCAACCACUCCAAAUAGACAAAUUAUUUAGUCAAUUUUGUAGAAGAAAGAACAUGUGACUGGGUUUUCCAUUUUCGUUUACUGUUAUUGGUGGGUUGAUUCAGUCUUGUAAUUAUUUUUUAAAUCGUACUUGAAGAUCCUUUCUUCAACGCAAUCUCAAUGAUUUUAAGCUUUAAUUACGAAAGCGUGCCCUUUCGGUCACCACAUUUGAAAUAAUGAGAACACCCUUUCAGUCAUAAAUCCCGAAACUUCCGAAACUUAUUCGCCUGGAUUUUAAACCGAGCUGCUACAUUUUCUAAAUUAAUAUUUAUUCAGAAGCAUGAUAACCUCACCCAGGUUAGGUGUAGCAACUAACGAAGGAUUUUAGUAUUUCGAAAAAUUGCAAGUGGGUAUUUGAGAGACCGUGGAUCUGAUGUGACGGCGGCUCAAAAUGCCAAAUCCAACGAUCCUGGAUGGAUCCGAUGUGACGGCGGCUCGAAAUGUUAAAUCCAACGAUCCUGAAUGGAUCUGAUGCGGCGGCAGCUAGAAAUGCCAAAUCCAUGUGACGUGAUCUCACGCCAGUAACUUGUUAUUACGUCUUACUAGAAUGAAAAUUUGACUUAGCCGCCCUUAAUUACCCAUUUAUUAUUCUAAAUUGGGUCAUUAUAUAUAUAUUGAUAAUUGAGAGAGUACGACAACAAAGACCAUUUAACGAUGAAUUAACGCAUCCUUAGUGCAAUCCGAAACAGAGAAUUACUUGAAAUCCAUUGGCGGCAAAGAAUCAAACUUUUGUUCACUGCCGGAUCACAUAUAUAUAUAUAUAUAUAUUGACGGCGGCGAAAACAAAGGGUUCCGACGAUCAAAGCAAGAGCAAACCGCUUAAUAUUUCCAUCGAUCAGCUCAAGAAAUUGCAAGAAGACAAGGGCUACGAGUUACAGAGGACUGUAGGAACUUAGUUCAUGCUCGGCUCUAAAGCCAUGACUUGUUAGUAACUCAAUAAUGCGGUAUAUGUUUUAGGUUAUCUAUUUUUUUAGUUUUGACUCUAAUGGAAAUGCAAGUCACACAUUAUUUAGAUUUAACUAUUUUAAUUUGUAAAGUGGAAACUUGUUAUCUAUUUUCUUAGUUUUGACUCGUCGAUAUUUUGUAUAUAUAUAAACUUCAAAAUCAUUUUAAAAUAGACUCAUCGGGGAUGUUAAUGAAUGAAGUUUGAGUUGAACUCGAGUUUGGCUCGUCCGGGUGGUAAACGAGUCAGGCUUAAAUAGGCUCGAACUCGAGACGAGCUAAAAUUUUCUAGCUCGAAUUCGAGCUCGAGCUCGCCUAAAUAGUAACGAACCAACCUUGAACACUGUGAAGUUCGGUUCGACUCGAUUCGUGAACAGCUCUAGUUGUUUUACCUUUGUAAAAUUAAUUAAUUGGUUAUUUGUGAACAGAAUUAUAUACAAAUUGAUUACGAACCUUUGGAUAAAUCCGACUCAAUACAUGUCAUGAGCAUUGCAUCACUCAUCGCCGGUCGUUUGGAUGAGUUAUUUCACAAAUGAAGUAUUUUGAAGCAAAAUGAUGCAUUAUUUAGAAAUGUGGUAUUUUUUAGGCGUUGAGGGGUAAGAAUUACCUUGUUUGGCUAAUCCAAAAACAAUAAAUUACGGGCUUUGAAUUGAGUUAUUUAAAAAUACCACAUCCAUAAAAUAACUUGAUUUGAGGUAUUUCAAAUACCAUAAUUACAAAAUACCAAAGCUUUUAUUUUGAAUAAAACAAAAUAUUUUUGUCCAAAUAACUCAAUAGCAUACCUAAAGUUCUUGGAAGACGGUCUAUAAUUGGUUUUAUACUAUAUUAAAAUUUGGUACAUACAAGUUGUACUUUAUAUUUCCAUUGUCAAUCAAUUGUAAAUUUCGAGAGUUUGUACUUUUCUGAUCAUAGUACGAUUUCGUAUAGUUUAUUUACACAUUACACAAAAAAAAUCAAAAUAUUGUAAUAUCUAAAAUUAAAAAAAUGUAAUGUCCAUAAUGAACGAGGAGUUUUAUAAUAAUAUUGUCUUUGUGGGAGACCGAAACUUUCCAUUCAUGAUUAAGAAGCUUGAGAUCGCUCAUCAAAAAGUCAAAGACCACAAGUUGAAUCUAAUUGAAGAUGUACAUUUCGAUAACUAACCUUUAUUCGAUGGUAAAGACGGACCAUGAAUGGCACCACGAAGCUCCGCCCUAGUGAAUACACAUGGUUAGGAUUACACUACAAUUCAGUAACUAAAUGGGUCCAUAAUUUUAACCAAACUCAAACAAAAACAAUUCGUGCAAAAUAGAGCAUAAAAUGAGACAAUAUUAAACUAUAUAUGUUGGAGUGUCCGAUAUCAGCCUCGUUUGAUGCCUCGACGAAGUCCAGAAACAUGUAUAAAAAGCACUCGACCUAUUCAUAUUAGACAACAUCAAAAUCCGACCACUCAAUCGAAAACAAAGAGACACAUCUAAACACACACCCCCCCCCCCCCCCCCCCCCCUCACACCUUUGUGUGUGGAAUAUCUCAAACACAAAAACAACAUCCCAUACAAACACACAAACCCCGCCGCCUACAAGCGGUUCCCGUCCACAAAGCCGCCGUUCACACUCGCCGACCUCAAGAAGGCCAUUCCGCCGCACUGUUUCAAAAGAUCCAUCCCACGCUCCUUCUCCUACCUGGUCUUCGACCUCAUCGUCGCCGCCGUCUUCUACCACAUCGCUGCCACUUACUUCCCCCUCAUCCCCAAACCUCUCUCCUACGUGGCGUGGCCGGCCUACUGGUUCGUGCAGGGCAGCGUCCUGACCGGUGUGUGGGUCAUAGGCCACGAGUGCGGCCACCACGCAUUUAGCGAGCACCAGUGGCUCGACGACCUGGUCGGGGUUGUCCUCCACCCUGCUCUCCUCCCCCCUCACUAAAUAGGGAGAUGAAUAAUAUUUUAGAUACUUUAAACAAAUAAAUUAUUUUCAAAAUAAAUAAUAUUGAUUUUUAUUUAUAAAAGAGCACUCUUUUUAUAAAAUCUUUUAUUUUUCCGAUGUGAUAUUUGAGACCUCAUUAGGUUUUACAAACUAUUCACAUCUUUUCCAACAGGUCUACAUCCCGAGAAAAAAAUCUCAAUUACGGUGGUGGUAUUCGAGCUACCUGAACAACCCGCCCGGCCGGCUUCUGGCACUGGCUUACACCAUCCUCCUCGGCUGGCCUUCCUACUUGACUUUCAACCUAUCUGGAAGGGAAUACAACGGCUUCGCCUGCCAUUUCUACCCGAUGUCCCCUAUUUACAGCGACCGCGAGCGAGCCGAGGUAUUCGCCUCAGAUGUUGGCUUGCUCGCUGUCUGCUUCGCGUUGUACAAACUUAUUAUGGUCAAGGGAAUGGCGUGGGUUUUUUGCGUCUAUGGGGCUCCGGUCAUGGUGGUGAAUGGAUUCUUCAUUACCAUCACUUACUUGCAUCACACUCAUCUCGCGGUCCCGCGAUACGAUUCGUCUGAAUGGGAUUGGUUGAGGGGAGCCCUGGCAACCAUGGACAGGGACUUUGGCCUUUUGAACAAGGUGUUCCAUAAUGUUACAGAUACUCACGUGACGCACCAUCUGAUUUCGACGAUCCCUCAUUAUCAUGCCAUGGAAGCCAACAACGCAAUUAGGCCCGUGUUGGGGGACUACUACCAUAUCGACAGGACGCCGGUGGUUAAGGCGUUGUGGAGGGAGGCUAAGGAGUGUGUUUACAUCGAGGCCGAUGAUGGUGAAAAGAACAAAGGCGUGUUCUGGUUCAAUACCAAGCUCUAAAUUAAACGAUCUUGUGAUCGAUCGUCUCUGCUUCUUUUCCUUCUUCGAUUGUCGUCGUGGUUAUGUUUGUAACGUUUUUGUGAUGUGUCGUUUCCGUCUCGAGUCUUAUUGUUUCUUAGUCGUUACAUAACCGCGAAGGGAUGUAUGUUCUGUUAUGUCGUUCAAUAGUUGAUCUAAUGUACCGCAACCCAGAUUUGUGAAACGGUAAUAAUGUGGUCAAGCAUGCUCAAUGGUUAUUUCCACAACCUUUUCAUUAUAUACUUAAAUUCCAUGUGUAUAUACACUAACGGUCUAAAUAUGUUAUUUUCCCGCAGAUUAUACUUAUUUUUGUGUGUCGAAAUGUAUUCAAAUUUAGAGUUUUAAGUACAUGUUUGGUUCUUUUGCCCACGGGGCUGUGUUAUGGUGUUUGGUAUAUUUUUGGUACAUUUCAGGUGUCAUAUGACGUUUAGAGAUGAAUCAAAACAUGACGGGGAGGCCGGAACAACUCAAAAUGUUCGAUUUCAGAAGAAAACGUCACUAUUUAGUAUUUUGAGCAUAACUCAUCGCUCGGAAGUCCAAUUGAUAUAAGGUCGGCGGCGUUGGAAAGAUAAUUCAAUUGUCUACAACUUUUAUGUUGACGCUAUGGCAAAAUUCCGUAUAAUGAAAGGAUACGGCAUGUUCCUCCUCUGGAAUUGCCCAAGAAAGUUACAGGGGCGGAACACGGGCGGGAACACGGCGUGUUCCACCCCAUAUGGGUUUUCAAACCCUUUUACUUCUCCAACUUGGCCCAGAAGUUUAUAAGUACUCCCCGAGAUCCCUUCUGGAUGAGAGAUACUUCAUUAUACGCAUAUUUUCGAGUUCUUAGAGAGAGUUAGGGUUUCAGAGAAACGAUUGAAGCGAGAGGAUCAACCACAAUUGGCGAAUGGCGAAUUAUCAAGUUGAAGAUUGGGAUUUACACGAAGAACAUGUCGUUUUCUCCGGUUUUUCUUCUUUUCUCUUGUGAUUAUUUUCCCGAAUCAUGAGUAGCUAAACCUUUCGUGUUGUUCAGAUGAGAUAAAGCUUUAGUCAAGCUUUUGUAUGGAUGAUGGGGUUUUAACCCCUUGAUUUGUUAUCGAGGUUAUUCAGACUUAUGAUGCGUUCUUCCUAAAACCUAAAUUCUGAUUCAAUUUUGUCUGGUCAUCUUGAUUGAAUCAUCGACAUUGAUUUGUGGGUCCGAGAGGAACAUAGAUUGAUAGGUCACUUAGGAAGAACCCUAGAUUUUUAAUGCGUUUUGUUUAGGUGUAGAUUAGCUCGAGAGAUGAGUCUACAGUUAAGCGAAAUAGAUCCUUAGAGGCGCGAGAGUGAUCUAAGACUACCAUAGGAAAUUGCCAAGUCAUUAUAACAUGAAUAAUCGAGUUAACUUGUCGUUCAUCCAUGCAUUUCUAGCUUUAGUGGAUUCGAAUCCGAACAACCUUCAUUCCAUACUUGAAACUCAAUCUCUUGAAUUUGUUUUCCUUUUAUUUGCCUUCCUAGAUAUUAAUUGGUUACUUAAAACAUCCUCCAAAACAAUCUUAGACUGUUGCUAGUUGGUAAUUCAAUUUGAGUAAUAAAAGUAGAAAGACCUUAGAAAAAUUAACGAUCCCAUUAGAACAAUCUACUGAGUAUUUGAUAGCCACGCAUCACUUAGACUAUAUGGGUUUGAUUUCCUAAAUUAAGUUUUUGAAUCAAAGUCAUAUAAUUUCUUCAGUCUCUACAAACCAAUAGUCGUAGGUUCACAUGACACAACAUGUGACAUGUCCAGUUGCCCUAACGUACAAAUAAUUUAUGUUUGCAUCAUCAAGUUGAAUCGUUCAUAUUGAAAAAUAAAUAAAUAAAUACUACUUAAUUUAUGAUUUAUAUAUCGUCAACUGAACCUGAUGUUCAUAAACCAAUAUUUAUAAGUUCACAUGAGUGAUGAUCACCUAACAUGUUUACCCACGUACACAUAUAGUUUGAAAGAUAUUUUUAAUUCGUGACGCGAAAAUAAUUACCUACGAAUACAAGCCAUUAAUGCUGAUCGAGCAACUUGUAAAAUUUAUUCCAAACAAGAGGGUCCAAUGCUUAAGUUGCUACAACUACAAGCCAUCAAUGCCGAUCGAGCAACUUGUAAAAUUUAUUCCAAACAAGAGGUUCCAAUGCUUACGUUGCUAGCUGAUUCAGCAGUGUUGAAGGAUUCAAAUGUGCUGAUUCGGAAAGAAUCAAACUUAGUUGUGAACACCAUAAUUAUACGGGACUGAAACGAAACGUUUUGCUUACUUAUUCAAAGUCUUACCGGUCCAUUCUUACCGAUACAAACAUGAGAGCACCUCCUGAUCAAGUCAGGCAGAUGAUAAGAGAAUGGUAUAAAAUCAAUAAUUAACUCUUCAUCCAACAACUAAAGCUAUUUGGAUGCAACGGUUUUUGACAUGAUAUCAUACCCUGGUUUGACCAAAUAGUCGUAAGUUAGAAUCUCCAUGGGGCCAUGACCCGCAAUAUUAAUAGUUGAUUUAAGCACGAGGUAUGGCGGACCUAUACAAAUUUCAAGCCCGUGAGUUGACUUUGGUUUGAAGAAGUUUAUAAGAUCCAUAAUCAACCCCAAUAUUGUCCCGGCCACCUGAAGAAACACCUCCAUCUUUCCGGGAUCUUACCUAAACCAUCAAUGCUACGAAUGCAGCGAUUUUCGCUGGAUUUAUUUGCGAAAAAACGAGAGAAGAUAUACAUUCCAAUUAAUGCUAUGGCGAACAGUACUGACGUCGAUCCAGCUAUAUCAACGUUGAAGGAUUCAGAAAGCAGCCUCCAUGUUUGAAUCUGAGAUCCAGACUAGUUCUGCAAUUAAACUAAUUAAUAAUCCUUCCAGAUUAAUAAUAACGUUGUCUGCCGACUCAUUAAAAAAAUAGAUUAUCUAACCAAUCAUAUUGUACGGAUGGAUCUGGUUGGCGGCUCAAAUGUCGAAUCUAUUCUCGUCUCAUGUGGGUCUCUUGGGAUCUCUGCACGUCCAUCUCAUGAUUAACUAAGGUUAAUUAGGUUCCGUUUGGUUUGAGUGGUGGUUAUUUUAUUUUUAUUUAUUUUUGUCUUGUUUUGCCGACAAAAUGAUUCAGAGACAAAGCAAGAUCAGAGAACGUGGUCUAUUACUACUUGUAGUAAGCAUUUUGUAUGGAUAGAGUAUAAAUAUUUUUAUAUUAAAGUAUCGAAAUUUGAAUUGGAUUUUUAAGUUUUUAAUAAAUUAUAUUUUUAGUAAGAUGAGUAUGAGAUAAUCAAAUGUCUUAGCUAUUUAAUUUUAUUUUAGCCUAUUAUUCGAUUUACAAAGUCUUAAGUGUUUGAAAAUUUAUGUAGUUUGUUAAUUUUUUUUAUUAUAAUUAUAGCCAAAAUCAUCUGAAAUCUGACGAGUGUGGAUACGAUAUGAUAUAUACCGCCAAACGAAUUAUUUAGGAUGUGUAUUAUGUAAACCUGAAAUUAUAAUAAAAAGGAAACGAAUAUCAACUAUUUAAACCCGAACUGAACCGUUGCCAAACCAAUACUUAUUGGUGGUUGGGAAUAAAACAUCGUUUUUUGUUGCUUAUACUUGGGAAGCAUCAAAUAUGUAGAUUUCCUCGCAAUCAGAUUUAAUUGUUUUUUCUUUCAUUUCCCGUAAGCUAAAUGACCUGGCGGACUGGAUAGCUAAAUCCAACCGUUUAGGCACGUUAGCAAACAAGUGGAUCCAAACUCUAUUGUAACCCUCAUUUUGUAUGGCUUUGCCAAUUUUCAUGAUGAAUAUAAUACCAAAUUCGUUUUAAAAGAAUUAGUAGGAAAAUGAAUCUAUAGCAUAUGAUCAGUUUUUUAUAUAUAUAUAUAUAUAUCAAUCUCUUCGACCAUGAUUGACUCUAGACACGACAAAUAGAAAACUCUACAUAUAUACCCUACUAAUUCUACCCGACUUUAGAAAAUUAAAGCAAAAUUCAAUGCAACCCACAAUACUAAAAAUCGAGUUCAAAAUAAGGAAAAAACAAACAGGAGGUAGCUAAUCCUUCGAAUGGGACAAAACAUUGAUAAAUUCGCCACAAGCUUAUUCAUUAUUAGUGUUUAUAAUUUCAUUUAAUUUUAAUUGGAGACUUUUGGUGGUUGUAAACAUGACUUAUUGGUUGCUUCGUAUAGAUUCCAAGUAGAUGGGUGAAUAAUUAAUUAAUUAUUAUUUCACAUCUCAACAAACACAAAUACAGCGAUGUCAUAACUGCAGUACACUCGAUUAGUGCACAAAAUGGACUUAUAUAUCCGACGACAUAAUCAGGAUAAAAUUUUGCCAAUAUUACGUCACCCGAACCGAAACUUUUGAUAUGAGGACAUCCAAAAAUAAAAAGUAGUAAAAUAUAAAUAUCUAUUCAAAAAAUGAAGAAUAUCGACAAUACCCCGUAAAAAUUGGGAGUGUUACAAAAUGUGCGGCUACAAUAACAAAAAUGCAUAGUGCACUAUUUCUGAAGACGAAUCAUAGGUAGGAGUUGUACAUGUCCAUAACGAAGACUUCUUACAGGCAAGAUGUAAUGCCCUCGAGCACGGCUGCAGAAAUUUUUUGGCUUAAUAAUUCCUGUUUUCAGGCCAUAUGUUUCCUGUUAUCAUAUCGUCCAUGAAGCAACUGAUCCAGAAUGUUUUAAUGUAUUAUACCAAAUCGUAUAAAAAUUAAAAUAUACUAGAUCAUAAAAAAAUUACUAAUUAAUUUAUAAAUAUAAUGAAAAUUAUAUAAUAUCAAAGUUCAAAAUUCUAAAAUAUAUUGGGCCGAAACUAAAAGGCUCAUCUGUAUCCGUCACUAUCAUGGCCUUGGAAUGGUGUGACUUCACUUGAAUGCCUCCUUGAAAAGUACCGCAUUAGAAAAACCAGUAUGUUUUUUUUUUUUACUUUUUUACCUUUCGUAAAAACAAAGUGAUAAUCAUCUAAUGAUUAAACCUGUUAGGGUAGUUUAAAACAUUUUAACCUAUGCUAUGUAUUUUGUACUUUGGAUUUAAUUCUUGGGUAUGCAUAUAUGUUGUUUAGAAGCUUGAUGAUUAUCGUAUUCACUUGACUCGCAAUAAAUAAAUUUGUUUUCCUACGCAGCAUCUCGCGGGAUAAUUUCUAAUAUUUAUUAAAGAUCAAACACGGGGCGAGGGAUAUUUUUUUUCAUAUUCAAAGACAUAACAGAACAUACAUCGAAACACAAAAAGCAUGUAACAACUUCGCGCACCAUUGUUACAACGUCACAAAUUACAGCUUGGUUUUGAACCAAAACACCCCUCCUUUCUUCUCCCGAUCAGAUCCCUCAUCAUCCGCCUCAACAUAAACACAAUCCUUAGUCUCUCUCCACAACGCCUUCAAAAACGGCGUAGUAUCAACUUGGUAGUACUCCCCAAGAACCGGCUUUAUCGCAUUUGUAGCCUCCAUCGCAUGAUAAUGAGGAAUCAUCGAGAACAGAUGGUGCGCCACGUGGGUAUCCGUAAUAUUAUGCAUCACCUUAUUCAAAAUUCCGUAAUCCCUAUCCACAGUCGCGAGUGCACCCCUCAUCCAGUCCCACUCCGACGAGUCGUAGUGGGGCAAGUUGAGAUGCGUGUGGUGCAAGUAAGUGAUGGUAAUCAACAUCGCAUUCUGGAGAAUGAGAGGCACCCCGUACACGCAAACAACCCAACCGAACCCGUUGACCAUCGCGAGUUUAUAAAGACCGAACCACGUGGCGAGCAUCCCGGCGACGGAGAGGACUAUCCCGAAUCUCUCGCGGUCGUUGUAGAUAGGGGAGAAAGGAUACAAAUGGCUGGCGAAUCCGUCGUCGUAUUUCCUGCCGGAGAUGUUGACCAGCAAGUAGAGCGGCCAUCCGAGGGUGAGAGUGAAGAAUAUAUAGAACACGUGUCCGGGAGGGUUGUCGAGGUAUUUAAAAUGCCAGUUGACUUCGUCCUUCUUUUUCGGGAUGUAAUUCUCGUCGCGCUCGAUGGAGGCGGCGUUGGCGUGGUGACGGCGGUGGCUGUGCUUCCAGGAGAAGUAAGGAGCUAAGAGGAGGGAGUGGAGGACGAACCCAACGGCGUCGUCUAGCCACUGGUAGUCGCUGAAGGCGUGUUGGCCGCACUCGUGGGCGAUGACCCACACGGCGAUGAAGUGGGACCCCUGAGCGGCCCAAGCGAUGAAGUGUGACCCCUGGGCGGCCCAGUAGAGCGGCCACGCCACGUAGGAGAGAGGGUUGGGGAGGAGGUGGAAGUAUGACGUGGCGAUGUGGUAGAGGAUUGUGAUGACGGUGAGAUCGUAGGCUAGGUAGGUGAAGGAUUUGAGGAGGGAUCUUUGGAAGCAGUGCGGUGGUAUUGCUUUCUUGACGUCGGAGAGGGUGAACGGCGGUUUUGAGGUCGGUGUUCGCUUUAUGGUGGUAUUGGAUACCAUUUUUGGUUUUGGGUUUGUCGGUGGAGAGGAGAGGAAAGUGGUUUGUUACAGUGGGGGAAGGGAGGUGGGGGGUGUGUAUUUAAGAUGGUAAAAGUGUUGCACACAAAAUCUAAAAAUGAAAAUAAACAAGAUGCAUGAGCUCAAUAUAAACAAAGUCAAUCAUGGACAAAAUCUCCAAAACAUAGCUGUAUUUCAAUAAUUUGAGUUAUUUUUUAGAAGUCAUAUUUAGAUAUCGAGUUAUAUCCGAACAUAGAAACUGUUAAAAAAUAUGGGAUUUAAUCGUAAUUAUAUCAUAAUUUUAUUAGUGGUUCACGGUCCAAUUCGGUUGGCUCGUCCAUAUAUACCAGUGCGGUUUUGAAACAUUGCGAGCUCAAAGGUGACUUGAAACGUUGAACUUUUAUUAGUAAAAAACUCUUGUACAUGUUACGAAUUAUUGCGUCAUUUUUUCGUCGAAAAUAGACCAGGUGAAGAUGACAUUAGAAAAUAAAAAGGAAAUAAAUAUAACAUAGAAGUGUAUAUAUAAAGUGUGGCUAGAUUCGAACCCAGUAUAUACAGUUCUCAGUAUAUCCUAACCAAUAUAUGGAGUUUUAAAUAAAAAGGUCAUAAUUAAUCACAUUAUUCAUUAAAGAUUAAGAUACUGAAAUAUACAAACAUAUAGCUAAUUUUAGACGUAUGUCACUAAUGAACGACAGGGAAGCGGCUCCGUAUCAAAUGCCAAGUAUCAACCAACCACAAUAAGGUGGUCAAGACUGAAUCUGGGCCGUUUAUAUUUUCUUCAACGGUCAAAAGUUGCUCCUUUCCGAUCAGACAAUGACUCUUGUGGAAAAAAUAUUGAUACUAGGAGAAAAUUGGGGAACGUUAUAGAAUGGCAAUUGGCAACCGUGGAUCUGUCCUGGGGGGGCGGCUCACAAUUUGCUCUCAUGUGAUUUCACGUUCUUCAAGUUUAGUUUUUGUUUAUCGAAGAUAGACCGAACGGACUUAUCAAUACAAAAAAACGAAAGGAAUUAUAUAUUAUAAGUGCUUUAUAUGUGGUGGACGUCCUUUUAAGUCUUCGAAUAUGAAAGAUUGCAGCACCCGACUGAUAAAUUAUAACAAAUUGUAAAAACUCUCAAUCCCGACUUCAUAAUUAAAAGACAAGGUGAGCAAUUAACGAUAUCUUAUAUCGUAAUUAGUUAUGACCUACCUAUUCUAAGUUGUCUCAUAUUCAUCUCAUUCAAAGUAUAGACCAGUUCGUAAUACUUCUAAAUCCAGACGGCCCCGUAUGCAGAAAAAGCCGAAGAAGGCCGACGAAGUGAAAUGAAGGCCCGUUUCUGGCCCAACGAAUACGGACCGAGCCGGCCGUUUAGAUUGGGCCUGAACUAGUUUAUAUUUCCCGUCUGCCAUUUGCCAUGCCAUGUGAGUUUCUCCAUUAUUUUUAACAUUAUUAUUCCCCUCGUGUUCAACAAUUCCAAUUAUAUAAUGAAAUUUUAAUAGACAAGUUUUAAAAUGAAAUAGUUUUGAAAAAAAAUCGAAACUAAAAUAAUAUAAAACGGUCAUUAUCCGACUUUGUACACUAUCAUGCUGGCUAGAUAGUGCGGCGCUAUGCGACUUUGUUAAUUUCCAUUUCAUUUGGAAAUUAGUUGUUAAUUACGUAUAAUUUUUUUUCAUUUGGCCAACAAUCGAUAAACAAUAUACAUGCGUGAAACUCUUAGCUUCUUAAUCUUCUAUGUGACUUUCAUAAAUAUAUAUUAAUCAUAAAUUGUUGGUAAAAAAAAAGGAAACUGUGCACCGGUUAAUAUUGCUAAAAAUUGGCCACUUGCAAAAAAAGAAAGAAAAAACACAAUUUAUUUGCUGACUUUGGCUUUCUGUUUCUGGUCAAAUAAAUACAGUCCUUUCCUUCUCCUCCCCUGUUUCUCCUAUGUUCUCAUCCUCUGCAACUAAAAUGCCGGCGCCGCCUUCAUCAUCCAACACGACCAUGAAGCGAUCGCCUCACUCAAAGCCGCCGUUCACCGUCUCCGACGUCAAGAAAGCCAUUCCACCACACUGCUUCCAAAGGUCCCUCCUCCGAUCAUUCUCCUACCUAACCUACGACCUCACCAUCAUCACAAUCCUCUACCAAGUCGCCACCACUUACUUCCACCUCCUCCCGACACCUCUCUCAUCCUACGUGGCAUGGCCGGCCUACUGGGCCGGCCAAGGCUGCUUCUUCGUCGCUGUAUGGAUGGUGGCCCACGAGUGUGGCCAUCACGCCUUCAGCGACCAGCACUGGCUGGAAGACUCGGUCGGAUUCAUCCUCCACUCAGCCCUCCUUUCACCUUACUUCUCAUGGA
rnacentral:lncRNA from 1 species